rnacentral:rRNA from 1 species
CUUGCUGCUUUUGCUGACGAGUGGCGGACGGGUGAGUAAUGUCUGGGAAACUGCCUGAUGGGAGGGGGAUAACUACUGGAAACGGUAGCUAAUACCGCAUAAUGUCGCAAGACCAAAGAGGGGACCUUCGGGCCUCUUGCCAUCAGAUGUGCCUAGAUGGGAUUAGCUAGUAGGUGGGGUAACGGCUCACCUAGGCGACGAUCCCCUAGCUGGUCUGAGAGGAUGACCCAGCCACACUGGAACUGAGACACGGUCCAGACUCC